rnacentral:rRNA from 1 species
AUGCGGGGGCCGGGGGCGGUGAAGGCGGGGAGCCGGCCGCCGUGGCUGGGGCUGAGCGCGGCGGUGUGGGUGCAGGUGGCGGGGGGCGCCAGCUCCACCUUCGCGCUCUACUCGCACGCGCUCAAGCUCGCGCUCGGGGUCGACCAGCGCCGCCUCGCGCUGCUCGCCGUCGCCUGCGACGUCGGGGAGAACCUCGGCCUGCUCCCGGGCGUCCUCUGCAACCGCCUCCACCCGGCCCUGCUCCUCCUCAUCGGCGCCGCCGCCUGCGUCCUCGGCUACGGCGCCACCUGGCUCGCCGUCUCCGGCGCCGCCCCGGCGCUGCCCUACUGGCUGGUGACCUCCCCCUCCUUCUUCCUUGCACUUCAAUCCGUAUAUUCAUUAGUAUGGUUGGCAUUGUGCCUUGCUGCAAACAGUGGCGCGUGGUUGGGGACUGCCGUUUUGGUAACCAACAUGAGGAACUUCCCUCUCAGCAGAGGUGCCGUUGCCGGCAUCCUUAAAGGCUACGCCGGCCUAAGCGCCGCCGUCUACACCGAAAUAUACACCGGCAUACUUCACGAUUCGGCCGCGAGCCUUUUGCUUUUGCUCGCUCUCGGGGUUCCUUCGGUGUGCCUUCUGACAAUGUACUUUGUUCAACCCUGUCAACCCUCUCUGGUGCCGAAUUCUUCAGAGCAAGUUCACUUCCUCUUCACACAAAUCGGGAGCAUUGUUCUUGGGGUUUAUCUUGUUGGGGCCACAAUAUUGGAUCAUGUCGUAACACUUAGUGACGCAGUGAACUAUUCUCUGGUUGUUAUUAUGGUCCUUCUGCUCUUUGCGCCGGUUGCAAUACCCUUGAAAAUGACAUUGUUUCCAAGUAACCGAAGAAAAGGCCCGUCGGACUCUUCCGGCGCUGAUAGUGAUCAUACAGAACCAUUUCUUCCACCUUCUGCCUCCGGAUCAAACCUUACUGAUCUAGACGAUGAGGAUUCCUUCGAUAUUGACAUUCUCUAUGCAGAGGGUGAAGGGGCUGUAAAGCAGACAAGAAGAAGACCAAAAAGAGGAGAGGACUUCAGAUUUCGUGAAGCACUGCUCAAGGCAGACUUUUGGCUUCUUUUCGCAGUAUAUUUCAUCGGUGUUGGAUCUGGAGUCAUGGUCCUUAACAAUCUAGCACAAGUUGGAAUUGCAGCAGGUGCUGUGGACACCACUAUAUCACUCUCUCUGUUCAGUUUCUGCAACUUUUUUGGCCGUUUGGGAGGUGGUGCUGUUUCGGAGUAUCUUGUCAGGUCAUGGACAAUUCCCCGGACAGCACUGAUUAUAUGCACCCAAGUAGUGAUGAUAUUCACAUACCUGCUCUUUGCAUUGGGUCUCCACUCUACACUUCACGUCGCCGUUGCCUUGCUUGGCAUAUGCUACGGUAUCCAGUUCUCGGCGAUGAUCUCAGCAUCAUCGGAGCUAUUCGGGUUGAAGCACUUUGGGAAGAUCUACAACUUCAUCUCGCUCGGGAAUCCACUCGGCGCGCUCCUGUUCAACAGUCUCGCAGGAUAUUUCUACGAUCUCGAGGUGGAAAAGCAGCACGCCACGACGACGGACUUUGACGUCGCGUGCCAUGGCCCCAAUUGCUUCAGACUCACGUUCUUUAUUCUGUCUGGCAUGGCCUGCUUGGGCACACUGCUGAGCAUAGUCCUGACCGUGAGGAUCCGGCCGGUGUAUCAGAUGCUCUAUGCCGGUGGAUCCUUCAGCCAGCCCAGGAGCUCCGCACAUUGA